rnacentral:rRNA from 1 species
UACGGAGGGUGCAAGCGUUAUCCGGAUUCACUGGGUUUAAAGGGAGCGCAGGCGGGCUGGUAAGUUAGUGGUGAAAGCCUUGAGCUUAACUCGAGAACUGCCAUUGAUACUAUCAGUCUUGAAUAUUGUUGAGGUUUGCGGAAUGGGUCAUGUAGCGGUGAAAUGCAUAGAUAUGACCCGGAACACCUAUUGCGAAGGCAGCAGGCUAAACAAAGAUUGACGCUGAGGCUCGAAAGCGUGGGGAUCAAACAGG